rnacentral:rRNA from 1 species
UGCCAGCAGCCGCGGUAAUACGGAGGGAGCGAGCGUUAAUCGGAAUUACUGGGCGUAAAGCGCGCGUAGGCGGUUCUAUAAGUCGGAUGUGAAAGCCCAGGGCUCAACCCUGGAAUUGCAUUCGAUACUGCAGAACUAGAGUAUGGUAGAGGGAAGUGGAAUUUCCGGUGUAGCGGUGAAAUGCGUAGAUAUCGGAAGGAACACCAGUGGCGAAGGCGACUUCCUGGGCCAAUACUGACGCUGAGACGCGAAAGCGUGGGGAGCAAACAGGAUUAGAUA